rnacentral:rRNA from 1 species
CCUACGGGAGGCAGCAGUGAGGAAUAUUGGUCAAUGGCCGAUAGGCUGAACCAGCCAAGUCGCGUGAGGGAAGACGGCCCUACGGGUUGUAAACCUCUUUUGUCGGGGAGCAAAGCGAGUCACGUAUAACUCUUUGCGAGUACCCUAAGAACAAGCAUCGGCUAACUCCGUGCCAGCAGCCGCGGUAAUACGGAGGAUGCGAGCGUUAUCCGGAUUUAUUGGGUUAAAAGGGUGCGCAGGCGGAUGUGCAAGUCAGCGGUAAAAUUGCGGGGCUCAACCCCGUACUGCCGUUGAUACUGCAUCCCUUGAGUGCGCGAGAGGUAUGCGGAAUGCGUGGUGUAGCGGUGAAAUGCAUAGAUAUCACGCAGAACUCCGAUUGCGAAGGCAGCAUACCGGCGCGCAACUGACGCUCAUGCACGAAAGCGUGGGUAUCGAACAGGAUUAGAUACCCGAGUAGUC